rnacentral:rRNA from 1 species
UACGGAGGGUGCAAACGUUGCUCGGAAUUAUUGGGCGUAAAGCGCACGUAGGCGGGUUAGCAAGUCGGAUGUGAAAGCCCUCGGCUUAACUGAGGAAGUGCAUUCGAAACUGCUAGCCUUGAGUACAGAAGAGGGUCGCGGAAUUCCCGGUGUAGAGGUGAAAUUCGUAGAUAUCGGGAGGAACACCAGUGGCGAAGGCGGCGACCUGGGCUGAUACUGACGCUGAGGUGCGAAAGCGUGGGGAGCAAACAGG